UACGUAGGGGGCAAGCGUUGUCCGGAUUUAUUGGGCGUAAAGAGCGUGUAGGCGGCCAGACAGGUCCGUUGUGAAAACUCGAGGCUCAACCUCGAGACGCCGAUGGAAACCGUCUGGCUAGAGUCCGGAAGAGGAGAGUGGAAUUCCUGGUGUAGCGGUGAAAUGCGCAGAUAUCAGGAAGAACACCCGUGGCUAAGGCGGCUCUCUAGUACGGUACUGACGCUGAGACGCGAAGGCGUGGGGAGCGAACAGG
rnacentral:rRNA from 1 species